AUUGAGCGCUGGCGGCAUGCCUUACACAUGCAAGUCGAACGGUAACGGGCCUUCGGGUGCCGACGAGUGGCGAACGGGUGAGUAAUACAUCGGAACGUGCCCGAUCGUGGGGGAUAACGAGGCGAAAGCUUUGCUAAUACCGCAUACGAUCUACGGAUGAAAGCAGGGGACCGCAAGGCCUUGCGCGGACGGAGCGGCCGAUGGCAGAUUAGGUAGUUGGUGGGAUAAAAGCUUACCAAGCCGACGAUCUGUAGCUGGUCUGAGAGGAUGAUCAGCCACACUGGGACUGAGACACGGCCCAGACUCCUACGGGAGGCAGCAGUGGGGAAUUUUGGACAAUGGGCGCAAGCCUGAUCCAGCCAUGCCGCGUGCAGGAUGAAGGCCUUCGGGUUGUAAACUGCUUUUGUACGGAACGAAAAGCCUUCUUUUAAUACAGGAGGGUCAUGACGGUACCGUAAGAAUAAGCACCGGCUAACUACGU
rnacentral:rRNA from 1 species